rnacentral:rRNA from 1 species
UUCCGGUUGAUCCUGCCGGAGGCUACCGCUAUUGGAGUUCGAUUAAGCCAUGCGAGUCGCGAGUCUUAGGGACUCGGCGUACCGCUCAGUAACACGUGGGUAACCUGCCCUAUGCUGGGGGAUAACCUCGGGAAACUGAGAAUAAUACCCAACAGAUCAUCAAUUCUGGAAUGGUUGAUGAUUCAAAUGAUUUUUCGCCAUAGGAUGGGACUGCGACCUAUCAGCUUGUUGGUGAGGUAAUGGCCCACCAAGGCAAUUACAGGUACGGGCUCUGAGAGGAGAAGCCCGGAGAUGGGUACUGAGACAAGGACCCAGGCCCUAUGGGGCGCAGCAGGCGAGAAAACUUUGCAAUGUGCGAAAGCACGACAAGGUUAAUCCGAGUGAUUUCUGCUAAAGGAAUCUUUUGUUAGUUCUAAAAAUACUAGUGAAUAAGGGGUGGGCAAGUUCUGGUGUCAGCCGCCGCGGUAAAACCAGCACCUCAAGUGGUCAGGAGGAUUAUUGGGCCUAAAGCAUCCGUAGCCUGUUCUAUAAGUUUGCGGUUAAAUCUAUACGCUCAACGUAUAGGCUGCCGUAAAUACUGUAGAACUAGGGAGUGGGAGAGGUAGACGGUACUCGAUAGGAAGGGGUAAAAUCCUUUGAUCUAUUGAUGACCACCUGUGGCGAAGGCGGUCUACCAGAACACGUUCGACGGUGAGGGAUGAAAGCUGGGGGAGCAAACCGGAUUAGAUACCCGGGUAGUCCCAGCUGUAAACGAUGCAGACUCGAUGAUGCAAUGGCAUAGAGCUAUUGCAGUAUCGCAGGGAAGCCGUUAAGUCUGCCGCCUGGGAAGUACGUACGCAAGUAUGAAACUUAAAGGAAUUGGCGGGGGAGCACCACAAGGGGUGAAGCCUGCGGUUCAAUUGGAGUCAACGCCGGG